GGCAGCAGUAGGGAAUCUUCCGCAAUGGACGAAAGUCUGACGGAGCAACGCCGCGUGAGUGAUGAAGGCUUCGGGUCGUAAAACUCUGUUGUUAGGGAAGAACAAGUAUCGGUCUAACUGCCGGUACCUUGACGGUACCUAACCAGAAAGCCACGGCUAACUACGUGCCA
rnacentral:rRNA from 1 species